rnacentral:rRNA from 1 species
CGAAACCAGGUGAUCUACCCUUGGUCAGGUUGAAGUUCAGGUAACACUGAAUGGAGGACCGAACCGACUUACGUUGAAAAGUGAGCGGAUGAACUGAGGGUAGCGGAGAAAUUCCAAUCGAACCUGGAGAUAGCUGGUUCUCUCCGAAAUAGCUUUAGGGCUAGCCUCAAGUGAUGAUUAUUGGAGGUAGAGCACUGUUUGGACGAGGGGCCCCUCUCGGGUUACCGAAUUCAGACAAACUCCGAAUGCCAAUUAAUUUAACUUGGGAGUCAGAACAUGGGUGAUAAGGUCCGUGUUCGAAAGGGAAACAGCCCAGACCACCAGCUAAGGUCCCAAAAUAUAUGUUAAGUGGAAAAGGAUGUGGCGUUGCCCAGACAACUAGGAUGUUGGCUUAGAAGCAGCCAUCAUUUAAAGAGUGCGUAAUAGCUCACUAGUCGAGUGACACUGCGCCGAAAAUGUACCGGGGCUAAACAUAUUACCGAAGCUGUGGAUUGUCCUUUGGACAAUGGUAGGAGAGCGUUCUAAGGGCGUUGAAGCAUGAUCGUAAGGACAUGUGGAGCGCUUAGAAGUGAGAAUGCCGGUGUGAGUAGCGAAAGACGGGUGAGAAUCCCGUCCACCGAUUGACUAAGGU